rnacentral:tRNA from 1 species
GUUCAAGUAGUUUAUAAAAAUUAGGAUCUGUGGAGUCUUAGAUGCAUCUAUGGUGCCUUGAACA